GAUAUGAGUGAGUCCUUACUUGAAAGCAGGAUACUGUGUCUACAAGUCAAAGAGUACAAAAUACGCCGGUAAACUUCAAGAAGCUAGGAGAAGGGGCUGAGACAGAUUCACAGCGCUAAGGGAACUAACCUAGCCAACUCUGUGAUGUUGGGUUUCUAGCCUCUAGAAUUGUGAAACAAUAAAUUUCUGUUUGAGCCUCCCAGUUUGUGGUACUUUGUUACUGCAUCCAUAGCAAACAAAUACAGGUUCAGAUGAUUGAAGAUAUUGUAAGCAUCCUGAAGAACAGAGAGGAUUGGAGGCUGAAGGCUUCUAGAGAUUGGAGGUGACAAAAGUUAUGGGAAGGCAAGCAGAUGAAAUGCGUGGAUGAUAAAAGCUAUUGUAUCUAUCACUGUCUGCCGGCCACCCCAACUCUACCUUUGAAGUGCUUACCUUGGAGUUCCCUCAUUCCAGAUGGCAUGACUAUAAGACAAAGGAAGGGUGACAUACCCACAUGAGAUGUUAUGGCAGAGUAAUAAACUUUCAUUGUGCUUA